rnacentral:lncRNA from 1 species
AUGAAGCACUGGGUUGUGCAACCACAGAUUAAUUCUUGGACAGAUUUUUCUGCUUCACUACUUCUUUUGUGGGUGCCAAAAAUAAUUGCUGAUUGUGCCAAGUUGUGUCUUUAUCAGCUGUCAAAGAUCUCAGUGCACUGUCAUAUGGCAUCUAAGCACAUCAAACCACAACCAAAGCAAAGAAUAAAGAUGAGAGAAAGAGUGAAUUCUGAAACCAGUUCCAGUGUUUUCUGCUCAAAGCUCCAAGAGACAAUGUUGAAAACUCCCAUAAUUCGCGUCCUGGAGUAUUCUGAAUCAAUGCAACUGAUACUCUCUCCCAUAAUCACAGAGAAAAUGAGAACUCUAAGAAUCUAUCUCUGA